AUUGAACGCUGGCGGCAGGCCUAACACAUGCAAGUCGAACGGUAACAGGAAACAGCUUGCUGUUUCGCUGACGAGUGGCGGACGGGUGAGUAAUGUCUGGGAAACUGCCUGAUGGAGGGGGAUAACUACUGGAAACGGUAGCUAAUACCGCAUAACGUCGCAAGACCAAAGAGGGGGACCUUCGGGCCUCUUGCCAUCGGAUGUGCCCAGAUGGGAUUAGCUAGUAGGUGGGGUAACGGCUCACCUAGGCGACGAUCCCUACCUGGUCUGAGAGGAUGACCAGCCACACUGGAACGGAGACACGGACCAGACGCCUACGGGAGGCAGCAGUGGGGAAUAUUGCACAGUGGGCGCAAGCCUGAUGCAGCCAGGCCGCGUGUAUGAAGAAGGCCUUCGGGUUGUAAAGUACGUUCAGCGGGGAGGAAGGGAGUAAAGUUAAUACCUUUACUCAUUGACGUUACCCGCAGAAGAAGCACCGGCUAACUCCGUG
rnacentral:rRNA from 1 species